rnacentral:tRNA from 1 species
GGUUAUUUGCCUUGCUGGAGUACGAUCAACUACGUUGACAUCGUAGGGGUCACAAGUUCGAUCCUUGUCACGCCCACCA